GAAAGGAGUCAGAAUGGUCUGCUAACAAUAAAUUUAAAGAGAGAUGUGGGACUUUAUUCUACAAGCAAUUAUGCUUAUGAGAAAUUUACUGGUCUGAGUUGCAGUGUUUCUGGAUUCCGGUUAUAUUCUCUGAAUUUAUUUUUUAUAUCUUGUUGAGUUCACUGAUAGUAUCUGCAAAUAACUGAAAGAAGGUGUUGGAUUUUGUUUUUAAAUUUAUUUUUAACAAAAGAAAUGAAAAAAAAUUAUUAUUAUUGUUAUUAUUUCCCAAGGACUUUACACCUUCCCUUUCCAGGGAAAUAUUACAUAUGAAUGAUAACUGUUAUUGCUCCCUGUCUAAUAAAAUAGUGAUUUUGCUGGUGGACAACUCCAGAAUUAAUCCAGCUGUCUUCAUUGUUUUAGAUCCCUUGGUGUGCCGAGUUUUUCAUUGCCAAACAGUUGAAUACCACAAACAUCGUAGGUGAUGUACUCCCACGUUAUCAAAUAAAUGCUCAAGGUACAGCUUAUAAUGUUGAAAAAUAGAAAAAUAAAUUGACCUUGAUGAAGUGUGUCUUCUUUUGUCUGUUCCCAGGAAAGUUUAUUUCAGGUAUUUCUACUGCUGAAAUGAUUAGAGUUAACAGCUUUUUCCCUCCAUUUUAUUUUACAGGGUCUCUUCAUCUUCCUGAUAUAUGGGGUGUACAACACAGAGCACUGAAGGGGGCACGGGCCCUUAGAGAGAUGCGGAAAGCGAAAAGCAUCUCCUGAUGAUUGUCCAACACCCGAAGCUGCUUCAGAACACGGAUUUUCCAUCCCAUUUCUGUCUCAGCAACGAGCUAUUUGCGGACUCGCACCCGCAGCGUCCCGGUGGCAGCGG
rnacentral:lncRNA from 1 species